rnacentral:lncRNA from 1 species
CUCUGCCAUAUUGACAAAAAUGUCAUCCUCACCCCCAUUGACAUUAGAAUGAAAAUCAUAGGGGAGUUUCAUUCCUUGAAAUGCUUAAUUCAAUGUAAUUGUUUUCUCGCUUACAUUAGUGACCAUAUCAAAGCAUGGUGUACACCUCUUGCUGUAUUAAGAGUAUUUCCCUAUGGGCAGUAACAUUUUCCUCUCCUUCUCUGGAUAUUAGGAACAAUAUUCCAGGACCAGAGUACAGCCCCAGUCACGUCGUGGUGACCAUAUCAGAGCACGGUGUACUCCUCUUGCCGUAUUCAGAGGAUUUGCCUAUGGGCAGAAACAUUCUCCUCUCCUUCUCUGGAUAUUAGAAACAAUAUCACAGGACCGGAAAACAACCGCAGCCAUAUCGUAAGUAAUGUCAUCU